GUAUCAUGAUUGCCGAGAUUUAGCAAGAUUAUUAACUUCCGGGUACAUCAACUUCUCAGAUUGCACUGUGUAGAGAGUGGUAUACAUAGAUAUAGCGUUAUCAAUCGAUUAUGUGGAGCUUUUAACGAAAUAAACAUGGGAAUUGAAGCAUUAGUGGAGUCGUCGAGGAUUCUUCGCUUUGUGUUUGACGAAUUACGUGUAAUAACCGCCAGUGUACAAGCGUCGAUGAGGGUACGUCUUGCAGAUAAAGUGCAGAUAUGCCUUGAAUCUGAGGAUAAAGGUGUUGUGCAGUCAUCAUCAAUGUGGAUGGCUGAUGCCAGUAUACCCAUAAUGGGGCAGUAUAAGUGUCGAUCUUCAUAUGACAGCAAGUUUUCAAAGGCAGAUAUAAGAAGGCAAAUAAAACUGAUGUCAAAUACGCCAGUAGUUGGAUAAAACAUCCAAAGUCGCCACAGUCAAAGGUCACAGCAACAGUGGAGGAAUUAACUGCAUCCUCAUUCCUCAGGGCAACAGGCCAUUGUCAGCAACCCCUGAAAUUCUUAAUUGAGGCUAAGUGCCCAUUUUCAGCUUGAACAAUGACAAUUAAAGAGGCCUGUGCAAAUAUUGAGAUUUCCCUCGUGAAUGUGAUGCAAGGGAUGGUUCGCUGCACCUCAAAACAAAAUAUGAAUAUUGGCAUCAGAUUCAUGGACAACAACACCUGAAAAACACCCAAUGCUGUGAUUUGCUAGUGUGGAUUCCUAGUGACACUCAAAUAGUUCACAUUGACAUUGAUGUAUUAUGGUCAACAAACAUAUUAAGUGUGAUAAAGUAUAAUUAUAAUAAUAAAGUAUUUUUGCAGUCUGAAACACACAAACACAUAAUCACAUGUACAUAUACUUUAUUAUGAUAUCAGUGGUGCAUCUAUCAAAGUUAUGUAAUUACAUGUAUACUAUUGAAUAAACAUUAUAGACAGAGUUUUUCGUAUUUUAAAUGAACCAAAAUAUGUAUAAACACAGAGUCUAGCUUUACAAAAAUCAUUAAAUUACAUGCAUUUACUAAAAACAAUGGAUUUUACUUCUUUUCUUUUUUUAAUGAUGCAGAUUUGAAAACCUUCAGAAUGAGAACAAAAGGCUUUAUUGUUGAUUGUUUGAUUGUAUAUUGUUUAAUAUAUUUCAUUCUUAUGGAGACGAUCCAAAAGGCUUUAUAUUCAUAUGAAUAUAAAAGGCUUUAUAUUCGUAUGAAUAUGUAGGAAAGUUAUAUUGCAUAUAUGGUAUUCAUUACUUUUAACUUUAAAAAUUCAAGUGGCAGGUAUGUGCAGAUGUAAGGUAUAUAUAUAUUCAUGCAAUUAAUCUAAUAAGUUUAUAGCAUUUAUCUGCAAUCUCCUUCAAAAGGGUAACCUGCAAAAUCACAUGUGCCACAUAAAGCUGAAAUAUUUUGUCAGAUCAAUAUCUAUAAUAUGAUACGAUAUGGCUAAGGAUUUUUUUUUUAAAUUAUUCUCUCAUUUUCCCAUCCAACAUGUAUUUUGCAUCUGGAAAUUUUAUAGCAAAGUUGUGCAUCCUCUUUUGAGAAAUGGGAUUUAUUUGUAAGAAAGAGUGGGAUAUUAAGUGUCAUGUCAUUUGGAAGUUUGUCAAAUAUACAAAAUCCUUUGUCUGCCAGGAAUAUAUCACCAA